rnacentral:rRNA from 1 species
CCUACGGGUGGCAGCAGUGGGGGAUAUUGCACAAUGGGGGGAACCCUGAUGCAGCGACGCCGCGUGGGUGAAGAAGCGCCUCGGCGCGUAAAGCCCUGUCAGCAGGGAAGAAAAUGACGGUACCUGAAGAAGAAGCCCCGGCUAACUACGUGCCAGCAGCCGCGGUAAUACGUAGGGGGCAAGCGUUAUCCGGAUUUACUGGGUGUAAAGGGGGCGCAGACGGCGAUGCAAGCCAGGAGUGAAAGCCCGGGGCCCAACCCCGGGACUGCUCUUGGAACUGUCAUGCUAGAGUGUCGGAGAGGCAGGCGGAAUUCCUAGUGUAGCGGUGAAAUGCGUAGAUAUUAGGAGGAACACCAGUGGCGAAGGCGGCCUGCUGGACGAUGACUGACGUUGAGGCUCGAAAGCGUGGGGAGCAAACAGGAUUAGAUACCCUUGUAGUC